GGCUCAGGACGAACGCUGGCGGCGUGCCUAAUACAUGCAAGUCGAACGAACUCUGGUAUUGAUUGGUGCUUGCAUCAUGAUUUACAUUUGAGUGAGUGGCGAACUGGUGAGUAACACGUGGGAAACCUGCCCAGAAGCGGGGGAUAACACCUGGAAACAGAUGCUAAUACCGCAUAACAACUUGGACCGCAUGGUCCGAGUUUGAAAGAUGGCUUCGGCUAUCACUUUUGGAUGGUCCCGCGGCGUAUUAGCCAGAUGGUGGGGUAACGGCUCACCAUGGCAAUGAUACGUAGCCGACCUGAGAGGGUAAUCGGCCACAUUGGGACUGAGACACGGCCCAAACUCCUACGGGAGGCAGCAGUAGGGAAUCUUCCACAAUGGACGAAAGUCUGAUGGAGCAACGCCGCGUGAGUGAAGAAGGGUUUCGGCUCGUAAAACUCUGUUGUUAAAGAAGAACAUAUCUGAGAGUAACUGUUCAGGUAUUGACGGUAUUUAACCAGAAAGCCACGGCUAACUACGUGCCAGCAGCCGCGGUAAUACGUAGGUGGCAAGCGUUGUCCGGAUUUAUUGGGCGUAAAGCGAGCGCAGGCGGUUUUUUAAGUCUGAUGUGAAAGCCUUCGGCUCAACCGAAGAAGUGCAUCGGAAACUGGGAAACUUGAGUGCAGAAGAGGACAGUGGAACUCCAUGUGUAGCGGUGAAAUGCGUAGAUAUAUGGAAGAACACCAGUGGCGAAGGCGGCUGUCUGGUCUGUAACUGACGCUGAGGCUCGAAAGUAUGGGUAGCAAACAGGAUUAGAUACCCUGGUAGUCCAUACCGUAAACGAUGAAUGCUAAGUGUUGGAGGGUUUCCGCCCUUCAGUGCUGCAGCUAACGCAUUAAGCAUUCCGCCUGGGGAGUACGGCCGCAAGGCUGAAACUCAAAGGAAUUGACGGGGGCCCGCACAAGCGGUGGAGCAUGUGGUUUAAUUCGAAGCUACGCGAAGAACCUUACCAGGUCUUGACAUACUAUGCAAAUCUAAGAGAUUAGACGUUCCCUUCGGGGACAUGGAUACAGGUGGUGCAUGGUUGUCGUCAGCUCGUGUCGUGAGAUGUUGGGUUAAGUCCCGCAACGAGCGCAACCCUUAUUAUCAGUUGCCAGCAUUAAGUUGGGCACUCUGGCGAGACUGCCGGUGACAAACCGGAGGAAGGUGGGGAUGACGUCAAAUCAUCAUGCCCCUUAUGACCUGGGCUACACACGUGCUACAAUGGAUGGUACAACGAGUUGCGAACUCGCGAGAGUAAGCUAAUCUCUUAAAGCCAUUCUCAGUUCGGAUUGUAGGCUGCAACUCGCCUACAUGAAGUCGGAAUCGCUAGUAAUCGCGGAUCAGCAUGCCGCGGUGAAUACGUUCCCGGGCCUUGUACACACCGCCCGUCACACCAUGAGAGUUUGUAACACCCAAAGUCGGUGGGGUAACCUUUUAGGAACCAGCCGCCUAAGGUGGGACAGAUGAUUAGGGUG
rnacentral:rRNA from 1 species